rnacentral:lncRNA from 1 species
UAUGCAUCAUAAAACUUUUGCCAUUAUUCCAUACUUUGAAAUUCAUACUCUCAGAUGGUAGUGUAGCUAUGGCCGCUCUUAUUCCCACAGCAAGGCCUUUACCACUGCAGGGUCAUCUUCUAGUUACUAUUACCCACUGGCGGGGGUCGUAAAGACAAGUUACUUUUACCCACUGGCGGGUGUCGUAAAGACAAGUUACUUUUACCCACUGGCGGGUGUCAUAUGCCUAGUUACUAUUACCCACUGGCGGGGAUCGUGCAUAGUGAUCUGAGAGUUCUUAAAAACAUAUCCUGCUUUUCAUAAAUCUUUUCUCAUAGAUACAUUAGAAAGUGAAUAAUGGCAUCAUACUAAAUAGAACUCAUGAUCAUGCUGAAAACUU